CUGCUUGCUUUGGCAGCACAUAUACUAAAAAAUUGAAAUAAUACAGAGAAGAUUAGCAUGGCC
rnacentral:snRNA from 1 species